rnacentral:rRNA from 1 species
AGUGAACGCUGGCGGCGUGCUUAACACAUGCAAGUCGAACGAGAACGGGUUAUAGCUUGCUAUAAUUGUCAGCUAAGUGGCGCACGGGUGAGUAAUGUAUAGGUAAUAUGCCUCUUACUAAGGGAUAACAAUUGGAAACGAUUGCUAAUACCUUAUACUCCUUAUUAACAGAAGUUAAUAAGGGAAAGAUUUAUUGGUAAGAGAUUAGCCUGUAUUGUAUCAGUUAGUUGGUGGGGUAAUGGCUUACCAAGACUAUGGCACAUAACUGGUUUGAGAGGAUGAUCAGUCACACUGGAACUGAGACACGGUCCAGACUCCUACGGGAGGCAGCAGUGGGGAAUAUUGCACAAUGGACGAAAGUCUGAUGCAGCAACGCCGCGUGGAGGAUGACACAUUUCGGUGCGUAAACUCCUUUUAUAUGAGAAGAUAAUGACGGUAUUAUAUGAAUAAGCACCGGCUAACUCCGUGCCAGCCGCCGCUGUAA